rnacentral:lncRNA from 1 species
GCUGUGUCCUCGCGCACGCGCUCCCAUGCUUGCCCCCUUAGGGUGUAGUCUUUCGAGGUCAUCCCUGGACUUAAGGAAACCCACCUUCACCUCCGCCCGGCUCAUCCUGUUUCUAAUGGUACUUCUCUAUCCAAUCAAGAUUAAUGAAGACAAGACUCAACAAUGUAAAAGACUACUGAGGCAUGCAAGCACAUGGAAACAUCUAAAAGGGCAUAUAAGCCAGAAGCCCUGA